GCCUCCAGAUACCAGCCCAACAGCAGGCGUCUUCAAUACCAGCCCCAAAUUCGGUUCAGAGAGAUAUGCAAAGGUCAUUUCCAGCAUUCUAUCAAGGGAGGAAGAGUAGAGGAAAGAGGCCUUUUCCAAGCCCCAUUGUCAUAAUUCCGGCUUGCAGACGGUGUCAGCUGACCUUUUGUUUGUUGCCCGAGAGCACUAGUAAAACUCCUAAAACGGAGACAAAUCUUCUGCAGGCAGGACUUGGAAGGCGUUCGAUUCGCAUUAUUGAGAAUGCUGAUCACGAAGAGAUUACCAGAGUCCUCACUGAAGAAUACUCGAAAAUGAGGGAACUAACGGGUGGUUGGCUGCUGUACAAAGCAACAGGAGAAAUUAGACACUGCACCUCUUCCUCCUCAUGCUGCACAGUUCAGCAAAAUGCCAAAGUCAUGCUGCAAGACUUGUGGGAUAGCUAUGCCCCUUCCAUUGCUUGUCAUCCACAUUGAAACUUGUAGACAUGAAUCUGCCCCUGAACAGCUCCAGGAAGGUGACAUGGAGAUGCAACAAGAACAAGAUGUUAACAUCGAAGAUCAAGUCCAGUCUACCUGUCCAGUUUGUGAUGGCCAGUAUCCUGCCGUUUUCUUGCCCUAUCAUGCCAGUUCAUGUGGUGAAAGUACACCUGAGAAUCUGCCAAGUUCAUCUAGCAGUCCAGACAUCAGAGCUAGACCACAACGCAGUCAGGAAAUGCAUGGCAGCAUUUCAACUCCUGAUCUUGAUGCUGAGAGAAGGGAUUUGGACACACAUGGAGUUUGGAAAACCAUCCUUUGCCCCCAAGCAGCAGUGACCCUCUUCAAAAGAGAUUUUGCAACAAAAGGAGAUGGAACCCCCAAUCCGGGCAAACUUGGACAUCCGAGAGGACCAAGUAUCCUAAAGUAGGCAAAUACUAGCCUUCUACAAAAGCCCAGAACUUGACUGGGCUUGCCCUCUCCACUGCAUUUUACACGGUGAUGCAGCUGUUGGAGUUGGGGUCCAAAGACACUUCCUUAGCUUGGCAAUGUCUAGACUGCAGCAUGGAUUCAACAUAAACAGUGAUACAACCAACAUCACGCUCCUUUUUGAGGGAGAACAAGACCACCUCGUCCCCUCCACCUCCCAGGUCUUGCUAGAGAGUGACCUCUUUGUAAUUGCUGGAAGGAUGAUUGGGCAUUCUUUCUUGCACAGUGGCCCUUCACUUUACGGAGUCAGUGAAGCAAUAAUUCAUAUGUUGCUUCAUGGAAAUGUGGAUACUGCCACAAUUACCCUUGCUGAUGUGGCAGAGCUGGACCUUCGGGAAACUAUUGGCAUGCUUGAUGGAGAUGAAGUCCUGUCUGACCAGCAGAGGAAUGAAAUAAACAAUCUUUCCUUUUCCUGGGACCUACCUGCUGUAAACAAGGCAAAUCGCAGAUGGCUGUUCCAACAACUGAUGCAACAUGCGGUGAUUGGACGAAGAACAAAACAGAUCAAACAAAUAAAAAAGGGACUCAAGAACACGAAGAUGUGGACAUUGCUUGAAGAAAAGCCAGCAACAGCCCAGAUUGUCUUCCCUCGGCAUGCACAAAUGUUGCCCAGGCAAUCUUAAGUCAAAUUGUCUGGCCAGAGGAAGAUAGCGAUGAUGAAGAUUCCUACCCACUCAGCAUCCAGAACCAGACGGCUGGAUUCUUGAGGACGUUUAUCGAGACAGCUUCUCCAUUCCACCUCGGACAGCUGACAAAGUUUUGGGUAGGGUGGGAAAUCCCUACUGGCAAGAUGGAGGUUAAAGUUGGGAAGGGGGAGUACCUAAGGUCUUCCACAUGUUUUGGAACUUUACAUGUGCCUGGGCACUUCAACAACUAUGAGGAGUUUUCUAAGCAUGUAGAGAGCUGCAUUGCAACAUGUGUUACAGGCUUUGGUCUUAUUUAGACACAGCCAGUCACUACACAUGCACUACAACAAGUGCACCUUUUUGAUGGCAUUGUUAUUUUUAUUUUACAUUACAAAAUCAGUUCUGACAUUUUAGUGUGCCUUACACUUCCUGUCUUGAUUCAAGGACACUCUCUACGUAGUUGAGUACAGCACCAUAGAUGUCUGCCCCAAAACACUGAGAUGGAGCAGUGGGAUUUAAAAGUUCAUUCAGUACUUCCAGUUCUUCAGUGCUCAAGGGAGAUGCCAGUUCAGGCACCCGUACUCCGAUUAGGUCUGUUUCGGUCAUUUCCAUGUCUGGAAAAUGGACCCCCUGUAAUAGUGUAAUGAUUAAUAACAUUGGAUUCUCUGAAU